UUCAUUAAAAUUCUAAAUUUAAUUUAAUUUGCGUAAAUCCUGACAUUUAUAUGAUCACAAGAUCAACUAAUUCCUCUUUCUUGUUUAAUAUGGAUUAAUCGACAAACUUGUUACUUUUGAUCAUGUAAUAGUUUUUAGUUGGAUUUGAAGUUGUAGUUUUAGAAUUUUCUAUAUUGCUUUUGAUAAGCUAAUUGAUUGAUUCUACUCUGUUUUAGCUCUCUGUUUCUGUCUUAGGGAAUGGUAAGUUGCAUUGAGUACAUUACAGUGAUGUUAUGGUUUGAUGUGUGGCUUAUUGUGUGUUAUGAUGGGAACUAGUGUUUCCUGCUUUGUUUUUCUCUUGAGUUUCAUUGGUAUGUUGAAAAAUGUUGAAUUUGAUAAGUUUUUAUUUGAACUUAAUAUGGGCUACAAAAAAUUCAUUGUCUCAUAAUCUAGAUUGUCUUUUUUUACAAGGUAAAGGUUUAUUGACUAAAGUACCAAUAAGCUACCAAAAGCAAAAGUUGAUUACUCUUUCCACUUCUUCAAAAGUGAAAGGCCUCUCCAACCACUCAUUAUCUUCAUUUCGUAAUUUUCUCAAAGUAUCAUCUUCCCAACUUGGUCUCCAACCUUCAGUUUCAGUAAAAAGAUCUUGAUAAAAUCCGUGAAUAUGAUCCUUAAUCAACUCAUCAUCCUCAACAAGCUUCCUUCCAUCAUUCAUUUAUCAAUAAGAUUAAUUCUAAUUAGUGUUUUUAUCUCCAUUCUGCAACCACAAGCAUCUAGAUUUCUGUCUCCAACUUAUUUCUUUAGAUGUUGCAUUUUCCUCUAACGCUUUGAUAAAUUUGUUCCUUUGAACUUUCUCAUUGGUCUGGUUAUUUCUUAAAGCCUUUCAAAUGCUUUACUCAUCCUUGUAAGUUGCUGCAUACUUCCUUGUUCCAUUUUUUUAAAUCUGCCUUUCCAAUGCUUUACUCUUCCUCACAUCUGGCUCAUCUUGUCUGUCAUAUGAUUUCCAUCAGCUGUCUAUUAAAUCGACAAAUAUGCAGUGUUCAAUAUACCAAAUAUUCCCCCACUACUCCCUUGUGCUUUUAAUUCGACCAAUCUGUCCAUCUAGAACCACCAACCUAUUUGAUACAAGGUAAAUCAAUCACCUUCAUUUUGUCAAAGAUAAGUUUAUGUUUGAGCAUUUUUGAAUUUUAUAACAAAGGGAUCUGAAUUUUCUGAUUGAGUACCUAUAUUGAAAGUGCUUCUGUCUUAGCUUGUCUUACCUAGAGUUGCUCUUAUGUUUGAUUGAAGCACAACAUAUUGACUAUUAUUGAUUUAGUCGUAUUGAAUAAUAUUUUAUCUUAGGAGAUGAUAAAAUUUGGGUAUACUGUUUGCACUUUGUAUUUAAGGAUGAUUUGUGCUAAUCUCCAUUACAUUAUACUCAAGAGAUGUCUACAAGUUCAUACAUGAAUGAUAUUUCAGUAGAAUCAGAUAAGUAGGUAUACUUAUAACCAUUAUACGAUAUGUCAAGAGAAGGUGCAUUAGGAAAGACUCUGCCAUUCCAUGGUCUAGCUCUUAGAGUUCAAUGGAACCAUUCAUGAUGAAUGUUUUUAGGAAUCCACCAGUAUUGAAUGUCCAGUUAAACUCACCCAUGGAAGGAUCAGUUUCCUAUUCCAUGACGAAAGGGAACGAUGAAAAUCAGUUUUUAGAUUAAUCCCAACCUUCAUUCCAGGUAAAUAUGAUUCACCUGGAUUGUAAAAACUUUGCCACAGGUAGUACAGAGGCUUAUUCUCGGUUGCAUCUCGAACAACAAGUUGCUUGAAUCAAGAAGUUGUGCUACUGGAUUUUGCCCAUGUCUAGUUGAAUCAGAAGACCACAUUACUCUGCCAGAACCAUUUAUAAGAGGAAAAUAUUUACAUCCAUCACAGGAGCACUAGAAAAACUACUGGGACUUCCAUGUAUAUACAUAGAUGAAGAGUGGGCUGAAGCUAUAUUUAUCCUUCUAAGGAACUCCUCUUCUUGCUUGUCUGCACACAAAACGACCAAAGUUGAUGGAGGAGGGCUCGAAAAUGUAGUAGUCCAAACAACAUGGUAGACAGUAGGAUCACCCAGCCUUUGAAGGAGGCAACUGCAGUCAAAUAAAAGAGGUAAAAAGUUAGUAAAAUCAGUAUUCAGCAGAUUAACUAGCAGCUCAGCAUGCACGUUUAUUUCCAAAGGCAAAAGUUGAUGUUCCCAUGCUAAAUGUAAGCUCUUGAGCAAAGCAUGUAAUUCUGUGUCUAAGGGAUCUGCAGUGGCCACAAUGCCUGAUAAUCCCAAAAUCCAAUAUCCAACACAAAGAAAAAAUUUGAGAUAGAGUGCCCACUUCUUCCAUGAAAGAAGCAACCUUGGAGCAUGUCAGAAAAAGGUGGGUUAUAGAUUCCAUAUCACCCAAAUUACAAAGCUGACAAAUCGGUGAGGGGAUGCAAGAGAUGUGGUGAAGGUAGCAGGAGGUUGGUAGUCAUCCAUGGUGUAAUACUAAAGAUUAUUUUAUCAGUAGACCACUUCUUGCAUUGUGUGUCCAUCCCUGUUACAUCUUCUUCUGGUUGCUAAUAUUCAUCUAUUCCUCUCUUGUUCUUUUGACACUGAUUUUUAAGUUCAUGAAUGUGAUCCUCCCUUACUAUACUCUACCAUUUAAAGUCCUUGUAAGAGGAGGAGAUUUGUAAAACGGGCCAUCUCCUAAAUA